UACGGAGGGGACUAGCGUUGUUCGGAAUUACUGGGCGUAAAGCGCACGUAGGCGGAUUGUUUAGUCAGGGGUGAAAUCCCGAGGCUCAACCUCGGAGCUGCCUUUGAUACUGGCAAUCUCGAGUCCGGAAGAGGUGAGUGGAAUUCCUAGUGUAGAGGUGAAAUUCGUAGAUAUUAGGAAGAACACCAGUGGCGAAGGCGGCUCACUGGUCCGGUACUGACGCUGAGGUGCGAAAGCGUGGGGAGCAAACAGG
rnacentral:rRNA from 1 species